UGGUCACUGUCAGUCAUUGUGU
rnacentral:miRNA from 1 species